AGAACGAACGCUGGCGGCGUGGAUAAGACAUGCAAGUCGAACGCGACUUAUUUUGUUAGCAAUAACAGAGUAAGUUGAGUGGCGAAAGGGUGCGUAACACGUGGGAAUUUACCAAGAAGUGGGGAAUAGCUCGACGAAAGUCGAAUUAAUACCGCAUAUGAUCGCAAGAUCAAAGCCGGGGACCGCAAGGCCUGGCGCUUUUUGAGAAGCCCGCGGCCCAUCAGCUAGUUGGCGGGGUAACGGCCCACCAAGGCUAUGACGGGUAGCUGGUCUGAGAGGACGACCAGCCACACUGGAACUGAGACACGGUCCAGACACCUACGGGUGGCAGCAGUCGAGAAUUUUCACAAUGGACG
rnacentral:rRNA from 1 species